UUCUCCAGACCUGCUGUUGCAAAGCAGUGUGCCGAAUCAACAGGAGAUGCAUGUUAAAUAAAACCCGACCCAGCCUCUCAAAAGUUUACAGUGAGAUUCUCAGGUUUUCCAAUAUCAUCUUCAUAGAGUUCCUGGAGGAAUUUAAGAAAGUACAGUGAAGAUUCAUUCCUUUCAUCUCCUAAGGGUCCUUCUGAGCACAAUUUGUCCUGUGAUCUGUAAAUCCCGAGUGAGGCGAGGAAGCCCAAGAAGUACAUUCCUACGAGAGCUCAUGAAGCAUAGGAGAAAGCUCUGCUCAUCUGUGCCACUUACCAGCCACAUGAUAUUGG
rnacentral:lncRNA from 10 species